UCUGACAUUUCACAUUCUUAAAAUAAAGUGGUGAUCCUAACUGACCUAAGACAGGCAAUUUUUACUAGGAUUAAAUGUCAGGAAUUGUGAAAAACUGAGUUUAAAUGUAUUUGGCUAAGGUGUAUGUAAACUUCCAACUUCAAUUGUAUGUAUGCAUGUAUUAGUGCAAUUUGGUUUGAUAAGGAAUCUUUACAUUUUUUAUACUUAAAUAUAUUUUAGCAAUUACAUUUACUUUUGAUACUGAAGUAUAUUUAAAACCAAAUAUUACAAGUAGUUUACUGGGUGACUCACUUACUUGUCAUUUUCUAUCUUUACAUUUACUCAAGUAUGACAAUUGGGUACUUUUUCCACCACUGAUAACCCAUUUAUUGAUGUGAUUUUUAUUGAUGUGAUACUAUAGGUCAGGCCCUUUUGUGCCCUAUUCGGAGGUCAGGUAAUGUAGUUAUGUGCAUGAGCACAAAACACCACAUUUGUAAUUUUAGUCCUAUACGAAUCUGCCAUGUCUGUAAUUUUUACAUGACAGGAGGGUAACAAUUCCAGCCAUAAUAACCUAAUGUUUUUUGGUGACCUCCAAGACCCUCUGAUAUUUCUAGUCCUGUGUGAAUCGACAACCCUGUGUUUUGAGAGAAAUUUCUGAGUUUGAAAGGUGUUGCUCGCGGUUUGCGCAAGUAAACAAUAACUGAUUCGAUAAAUUGAACUAAGUGCUGCGCAUAAGCAAUAUAUGGAUGGCCUUCACGUAGCCUAUCAACUUUCACAGUGAAUGCUUUUGUUUAUAUGUUUUGUGCGUAUGAAUUGAAUAUUGCCAAAUACAUCGGUAAAAAGCCCAUUUAAUGCAAUCCUUGCUGUUAAUAGAUCACAAAGCAGCAUACAACUGACCUAAAUGUUUAGAAAUUAUAAGUUACCUUUCUCAUCCAUAGCCUUGAAACGCAUCUCAAGUGCAAUUGCACUGUUUAGCUCAUAUCUGAAGGCUGGGGGACGUACUGAGGAUUGCUAAAAUAUCCUAAUGAUCAGUGGCAACCCGUCAUUUAGGGCAGGUGGGGCAGAGCCAUACCUGUUUAGCUAAAUAUAAAAACAAUGUAUGGUUUCCUGUUUUGCAUGUUAUUUUGGCAUUAAUACAUGUCACAUAUCAGUUUGCAAACAAAGUAUAAAAAAAAUAAAGUCGAGUUAAUAAAGCCGCAUACAAACAUGGUCUCUUUUUUGCUUUCUUGAGUAAGGCAGCUCCAAAAUACAUGCGUUUCAGCCUAGCUCAGUGCUUUUUGUGUUGGUGGGGCAGUCAGCGGAAAAUACGGAGCUUAGGUGUUUGCAAUGUUCUCUAGUUGCGCCGUCAUUAUCUCAGUGUUGUCACUCAUGGGCACACUACGUCACCACAAAAUCUAUGGAGAGAGCUCGAAAAGUCAAGCCUCUUCAGUACUGCCAUAGAGUUACGUUAGAAGUGCUCAUCCAAUCCUUGUCAUAUGAAGAUAAAUGAGAAAUUCGAUAAAACGUAUCGGUGCUCUUUCGGCCAUAAACAUUACACAACAAGUUGGAAAUCGCAAAUUCAACAAUGAGCGGUUUGGAAGGAAUCAGUGGCUAACUGCAAGCUAUGCAAAGCAAUCACUAGCCUGCUAUUCAGUGGAAUGGGUGUGUGGUCCAAGUCUGGGUUUAAGGGUCUCUUUUCCAAGCUUAAAAGGAUAAACAUUCAACACCACGGGCCAGAAACGAUUGAAUACAUUGGCCAUGCUGUCAAUCCAGCAUGACUUCGGCCGCGUUAAAAACAACUAGAAAUUCAGAACUGGGAAAUCUCAGACUUCAGUGAGUUCAAGACAACUGGGAACUCUGAAAAAAAAAAAACAAGCUCCGACUGGGAAAAUAAGUUCUGAAAGGUCAUCCAACUCGGAAUUCCAAGUCGUGAUUCGACCUGAUUAUUUAUUUUUUUUCCCCGAAUUCCCAGUUAUCUUGAAAGCACCAUAUAUCCAGAGAAUGCCAGACUUUGAUGACGAAGUUUUAUGAAAAGAAAAUUCCCCACAAUGGCCACCGUGCCACCUUCCUGUUCAAGUGAGCACAGCAUAACAAGACCUCCAGCAGCUCACUUUCCGUGUGUCUGAAGAGGUUCACCCUGAUCAGCAGUGUGUGCAGGAGUGGAGCCCCAGUCUGGGACAGGAGGACCCAGAGUUCACACAGAUUAAAGAGGAGCAGGAGGAACCCAGAACCAGUCAGUGGGAAAAGCAGCUUCAAGUGCUAGAAGAUGAUACCAAAGACUCCAUAUUUACUCCUGCUUGUGUGAAAGGUGAUUGUGAUGAGAACCCAACUCUGCACUCAUAUCUUUAUCAUGGUCAAAAUGAAGUUAACGGAGAGAGAGUCUCUCUACCCAGCACCUCAACUAAACAGAUCAAUACCGAACCAUAUGAAGAGGAUUAUAUGUUAUCAGAACUAACCAGUGACUCUCAUACUCUCGCUGCAGUAGACUGUUCUGCAGUUCAGAGAGAAAACAGUGAAAUUGUCAAUGGGAUGGAAAGUGGAGUCCCUCAGUCAGGUUUUAAGCGAGGAAAAUCAAAUAAAACAUGGACAGUAAAAAGACAGAGCUCUCGUGUCAAUAAGGGUAGGAAUUCCACAAAGUCCUCCAUUCUGAAAUCACCCAGUCAAAGUCAUAAUGCUCCUUGUCAUUGUAAGGUGUGUGGCAUGUCUUUUCAUUACAUGGGUUCUUUAGUGAAUCAUGUUCAAACUCAUACAAUGGAUAAAGAACAUCCUUGUGGUGUGUGUGGAAAAUGCAUCGGAUCCACAGAAAGUAUGAAAGAUCACCUUCAAAUUCACAGUGCAGCUAAGUUUUCUUGUAAUGUUUGCAGUAAAUGUUUUACAAGGAAUAGUAAGCUGACAGUGCACAUGAGGACUCACACAGGAGAGAAACCGCAUCACUGUCGUGAUUGUGGCCAAAGAUUCAGCACUGGGUCCCAUCUUAGAGUGCACAUGAGGACUCAUACAGGCGAGAAACCAUAUGUCUGUCCUGAUUGUGGCAUAGGCUUCUUUCAGAGUGAACAUCUGAAAGCACACAUAAGGAUCCACACAGGAGAGAAACCAUACCAUUGCCGUUUUUGUGACAAAUGUUUCAGGACUGGCACCAAUCUGACAGGUCACAUGAGGACUCACAGGGGAGAAAUCAUUUAGCUGUAUUCUGAGAAAAUAAUGUUGGUGGUCUGAAUUUAGCAGAAGUUGGAUUUUGUCAUUGUUGGACAUUAUGUUUGUCAGUAUCUAAGAAGCACUCAUGGCUCAAAGAUUACAUUGUAUUCUUUAUGAGAAAAAAAACCUAUAAAAACAUAAAUCCUCGCUAUAUCUGCAACUGUUAUACCUCUGAACAGGGGAAGUAUAGAAAUAAAUCGCACGGAGAUGUAGCUUCGUCUUCAAGUCAUUUGUAAUGAGUGUUUUUCAUAUAAAAUCCAUCAACCAUUUACAUGGGGUGGCAGGUAGCCUAGUGGUUAGAGCAUUGGACUAGUAACUAGCAAGAUCGAGUCCCCGAGCUGACAAGGUAAAAAUCUGUCGUUCUGCCCCUGAACAAGGCAGUUAAGCCACUGUUCCUGAGUUGUCAUUGAAAAUAACAAUAUGUUAACUGACUUGCCUAGUUAAAUAAAAGGUAAUUCUUUUUUUUUAAAUGUAGAAAAUAGAAUGUUGCACAAAAUAUGUUCUCUCAAAUGACAUAGCUGUUACAACUGUUCAAUAAACCAGUAUUGUCUUAUUUAUACA